rnacentral:rRNA from 1 species
UACGUAGGGGGCAAGCGUUGUCCGGAAUCAUUGGGCGUAAAGCGUGCGCAGGCGGUUGGCAAAGUCAGCUGUGAAAGCCCCGGGCUUAACCUGGGAAUGGCGGUUGAAACUAGUCGACUAGAAUCUGGCAGAGGGGGGUGGAAUUCCACGUGUAGCAGUGAAAUGCGUAGAGAUGUGGAGGAACACCGAUGGCGAAGGCAGCCCCCUGGGCUGAGAUUGACGCUCAGGCACGAAAGCGUGGGGAGCAAACAGG